AGAAGUGACCUCACCAACAGGCCUCAGCAGUAAACACCAGUGAAAAGGACACACUUCACUGUCCUUCAGUUCACUGGGUAGCCCACAAACAGAAGCUCCCUGGGAGCAAAGACCUGGGAGGAUGCAGGAUGCUUCCGGUAUCACAGAACCACAGCUCUCUCUUCUCCAUCAACACAAGAUCAGGGACUAGUCUGAUCUCAUCUGAGUCCCAUGAACUUGUCUAUAGGCUACAGGUAACCCUUGGAUUUAGAAGAGGGACUGAGUCAUGGAAGAAUCUCAAAUGGUGAGUAACUUGGUGG